CAUUAUGAAGCUAACCAGCAUUAACCUUUUAAGUUAAAGACUGAGAAUUCUUAUUCUCCAUAAUGA